rnacentral:rRNA from 1 species
CCCUUAGAUGUUCUGGGCCGCACGCGCGCUACACUGACGAAUGCAACGAGCUUAUAACCUUGACCGAAAGGUCUGGGUAAUCUCCAAAUUUCGUCGUGAUGGGGAUAGAUUAUUGCAAUUAUUAAUCUUCAACGAGGAAUGCCUAGUAAGCGCAAGUCAUCAGCUUGCGUUGAUUACGUCCCUGCCCUUUGUACACACCGCCCGUCGCUCCUACCGAUUGAAUGGUCCGGUGAAGCGUUCGGACCGUGGCCUUUGGACGGUUCGCCGUCUGUUGGCUGCGGGAAGUUCGUUAAACCUUAUCAUUUAGAGGAAGGAGAAGUCGUANCA